GCUGGGCUGGUCUGAAGCCAGGAGCCAGAAGCUUCAUGGGUGCACGGGGUCCAUCCUUUGCUGCUUUCCCAGUUGCAUUAGCAGGAAGCUGGAUGGGAACUGGAGCAGCUGGGACUCCAACUGAAGUCCAGUUGGGAUGCCAGUGCUUCAGGUGGUGGCUUAACCUGCUGCACCACAGCACCAGCCCUACAGCUGGUUUUAAACCUAGGGCUGACAGGUUAGCUCUUGCAAAAGUGUGGAAUAUUAAACUAUUGUCUAUGUCAUGAAGUUAACAAAUGAAAAGAAAAGAUUAAAAUAUGAGUGUGUGUGUGUUUUAAGGUUUAUUUAUUUAAAAGAGUUACAAAAAAAAAGAGAGAAGGAGAGGCAUAGAGAGCGCGAGCGAGAAGUCUUCCAUCCACUGGUUUACUCCCCAAUUGGCCACAAUGGCCAGAGCUGUGCUGAUCCAAAGCCAGGAGCCAGGAGCUUCUUCUGGGUCUCCCAUGCAGGUGCAGGGGACCAAGGACUUGGGCUGUCUUCUAUUGCUUUCCCAGGCCAUAGCAGAGAGCUGGAUUGGAAGUGGAGUAGCCGGGAUACAAACCGCGCCCAUAUGGGAUGCUGGCACUACAGGCGGUGGCUUUACCCGCUAAGCCACAGCGCUGGCUCUCUGUGAAUGUUUAGGUGUCCAUAAUGUCACUAAACCUGUGUCUUCGCUUUGUAAUGGAAUUAAUUUUCUACUUCAUCCAAAAGUUCUAUAUGAAAUCUCUGCAUUUGGCAUACAAGAACCCAAAAAUGAGGUGAGUGCGGCUGCCAAGGCCAUCCUGUUGUAUCUGCUUCAGGGACGACUGAUGAUGACAGCACUGACUUGGAACAAGUUUAUUGAGUCUCUCUGUCCUGUCAUUCCAGUACUACAGGGCUAUGCCGACACAGAAGACCCUUUGGGUAACUGCAUUCUCCUGCUAAGCAAAGCGGGUCCUGAGGCAGGGCAGGAGAUUCUCC